rnacentral:rRNA from 14 species
GGGUUGUGAGGUUAAGCGACUAAGCGUACACGGUGGAUGCCCUGGCAGUCAGAGGCGAUGAAGGACGUGCUAAUCUGCGAUAAGCGUCGGUAAGGUGAUAUGAACCGUUAUAACCG